CCUAAAGGGAAGCCAAAUAAACAAAUAAAUGUUGAUUGGAUCACAGACAUCAAGGGCAUAGCUGAGGUGCAAAGGGAACAUUGCAGAACUGGGAAAUUCAUAAACUGCGCGCAAAGUUGGAGGAGUUCAGUGAAGGAAAAGGAAACUAAAAACUUUUGGAAUGAAAACAAGAAAGCAAAUGAAAAUUAGACAGCACAACAAACAAGGACAGAAGACCGUGCUCUGGUUAUGCCAACAUUCAUUCGCCGAUAAUCAGCAACAAAACCAAUGCCUUUAUCUUUGCUUGAUCGAACACAUGAAAAUAUUGCAACGUCCUUUUCACGUCCCUGUAACAAAAUGAAAUUAUUCUCUCUACCAAAUACAGAAGAGAAGGUGUAUCAAGCCAUUGAGUAUGAUGGCCCUCACAGAACCAAAAGCCUGAUUCUCAUUUAGCAAAAACAAAGUGCCAGUUGCUGGUGGGAGGUGGCAAGUAUCCGUGGAAUUAGUCGAGGUGCACGCAAGUUGGUCCGGACACCAUGGUUAUAAAAAAAAAAAAGGGUUCCAAAUGAUGCAGGAAAUCUGUCAGAAAAUCAAAGGACUGAUUACCUGGAAACCGUCAACAGUGUUGAUAUCAACUACUUUGUCAGACUCCACUCCAAAUGUUUCUCGGAACUUUUGACGCAAAAGUUUGACUUGAUGCCUAUAUGGUGAUAUAAUAGCUAACCGGGAACUUGAUUUAAGCUCUGGAUAUCUGGAAACCAGUUUGUGAUAGAUUGCAAGCACAAAUUCAACCUCAUCAACAUUUUGCCAAGAACCACUUCCAGAUGGCUGGGACUCCUUUCCCUCAUGAAUGUCAAAAAAGCAAAAAGGUCCGAAGCAACGGUAUUCGUGCCAAGAGCGCUUUGUCUGCUCUUCAACAUCAGGUCCAUCUUCAAGAGCCUCCUCGUAAAAUUCUCGGGAAGGAAAGUUCCUUAUCUGCAAUUUGUAAUUUGAUACAACUAUUAAUUUAUUCCCAAAAUAGAGAUAUUUUGAACUUCUUAUCAUGGGCCUUAUUAAGCCCAACGUCGCAUUUCAAGUUACAAUUAAAUUUUCUUUUCUUUGUUGUCUGUUC